GCUCAUUAAAGAGACCUCUGCCUGAUGUUGUUGGUAGUGCAGGUUAAACAACAUUGAGUACCCAAGAGGUAACACCCAGUACUGUUAACAGAAAGACUGUCCCAAAGUCCGUAGUCCCAGAACAGGUUAAGCCAAUGUACACAGGGCCUCUUUGGUGUGUUUCCUACAUUCUUUAUGAUCUGCAGGAUCCCUAAUGAUCGGCGGCCAUGAAGUAAGAACAACUUAGAAAGUUUGAAUUGUAGAUUGAGUUAUUGGGUGGUUCAGAAUCUCCCCAGAUAGUUUGCUCUUCACUGAAAAGAAACUGACUGCAAGCAGAAGACACCUUUCCUCAGAAAGCAGUGGCAGAUCCAGCUUAUAUGUAUCCAAACUUCAUGCCUCAACUAAGUAGUGACUUCUGAUGAAGAAGCCCCAGGCUAACCAGCUGCCAUCAUCACUGCUGUUGGAGGGACUAGCUACAAGGAAGGAAGCUACUUUUAGAGGAGAUUCUAUGAGGAAAUAUUCUGGAGGUCAGCAAGUUUAUCAUCACUUUCUUUAUCACACCAACAGAACGGGAACAUCCCACAACAGGGCUGCAGCCACGGCUUCCAGAUGAUGUUAUACACAGACAGCUGCUGUGGG